AGCGAACGCUGGCGGCAGGCUUAACACAUGCAAGUCGAGCGGACCUUUCGGGGUCAGCGGCGGACGGGUGAGUAACGCGUGGGAACGUGCCUUCCGGUUCGGAAUAACCCUGGGAAACUAGGGCUAAUACCGGAUACGCCCUUAUGGGGAAAGGUUUACUGCCGGAAGAUCGGCCCGCGUCUGAUUAGCUAGUUGGUGGGGUAACGGCCUACCAAGGCGACGAUCAGUAGCUGGUCUGAGAGGAUGAUCAGCCACACUGGGACUGAGACACGGCCCAGACUCCUACGGGAGGCAGCAGUGGGGAAUAUUGGACAAUGGGCGCAAGCCUGAUCCAGCCAUGCCGCGUGAGUGAUGAGGGCCUUAGGGUUGUAAAGCUCUUUUAUCCGGGACGAUAAUGACGGUACCGGAGGAAUAAGCCCCGGCUAACUUCGUG
rnacentral:rRNA from 1 species